rnacentral:misc_RNA from 1 species
CAAGAAGCCGAAAGGCUACUUAAAACCAUCGCGAACUUAUCCAAGUUGCUUCGGCGGCGCGGCUCCCCUCACAGGGCGCCGCAGCCCCGCCUCUCAGGAGGUAUGGGGCACCCGCCGGAGGUACGAAACUCUGUAUUAUAGUGGCAUCUCUGAGUAAAAAACAAAUAAGUUA